rnacentral:misc_RNA from 1 species
GUUUCACAUGGACCUGAUGGAUGGGUGAAUGAGUUUGCCACUGAAAGAGAGCAAAAUGGGUCUGUUGAUGAUCAAUGGGUAAAUGAAUUCUCAAAGUUGCAUGUUAAUGACUGGGUAGAAGAAUUUGGGCAUCAGGUAGAGGAAGGAGCAUUGGGGGAUAGUUCUGCUGAUGCCUGGGCAAAUGCCUAUGAUGAGUACCUCAAUGAACAAGUAGCUGUCAAGAAGCAGUCAGAAGCUUCAAGGGGAGUUUAUGUGUUCUCUGAUAUGAAUCCUUAUGUUGGUCACCCCAAUCCCUUAAGAGAGGGCCAGGAGCUAUUCCGCAAAGGUCUUUUGAGUGAAGCGGUGCUUGCUUUAGAGGCUGAAGUCUUGAA